rnacentral:rRNA from 1 species
AGUGAACGCUGGCGGUAGGCCUAACACAUGCAAGUCGAACGGCAGCACAGGAGAGCUUGCUCUCUGGGUGGCGAGUGGCGGACGGGUGAGGAAUACAUCGGAAUCUACUUUUUCGGGGGGGAUAACGUAGGGAAACUUACGCUAAUACCGCAUACGACCUACGGGUGAAAGCAGGGAAUCUUCGGACCUUGCGCGACUGAAUGAGCCGAUGUCGGAUUAGCUAGUUGGCGGGGUAAAGGCCCACCAAGGCGACGAUCCGUAGCUGGUCUGAGAGGAUGAUCAGCCACACUGGAACUGAGACACGGUCCAGACUCCUACGGGAGGCAGCAGUGGGGAAUAUUGGACAAUGGGCGCAAGCCUGAUCCAGCCAUACCGCGUGGGUGAAGAAGGCCUUCGGGUUGUAAAGCCCUUUUGUUGGGAAAGAAAUCCAGCUGGCUAAUACCCGGUUGGGAUGACGGUACCCAAAGAAUAAGCACCGGCUAACUUCGUGCCAGCAGCCGCAGUAA